AUGAGAACUUGCUUGCAUAAGUGCCCUCCUACACAUGCAAUAUGCCCUUCUUACUUUUGUAACGGAUCCCUUCCAGUUGAAAUUUGGGCCAAGAGGAAAAAAUGAUACAGGAGUGCAGCUUUUUCUGUAUUUGUGUUCAGCCUCACAGGUCGCCAACCAACCAACAGCAAAGCCUGCAGAGGAGGGCCAUUAACUCUUGUGAAUUACAAAAUGAAGAGGUCUUUACAGGACUUCUGCAAAGUCCUACUGGGUUCAGCCUUAAAAUAUAAUUGCAGAUCUCUUGUUUCUCACUAGACAGAAUGUUGCAAUACAGAUAUUUACUGUUUGUUGUGCAUUAGAAAAUAAAGGAAACUUCAGUUCAACGUGGUGGAUUGUC
rnacentral:lncRNA from 1 species